ensembl:lincRNA
CUUUGCCCUUUAACUUGGUGGUGCAGUCACUGUUCUCUUCCCACAGCCAUGCAGUUGGACCAAUCAUUGGCCUUCUCCAUUGUUUCUGCUCCUGGGCGUUGGGGGGCAUUCCCCAGCCUUCUGCCAAGGGCGGCAACCUCUGGACAGAGAGACAGCCAACACUUUCUCUCUAAGAUUUCCUCAGCAUGCCAGUGAGGGGUGAACC